CGGGGCGUGGCGCAGCCUGGUAGCGCACCUGCCUUGGGCGCAGGGGGUCGUGGGUUCAAAUCCCUCCGCCCCGACCA
rnacentral:tRNA from 2 species